CUAUCAGGUAAAGCCAGUGAUUAGAGGCAUUGGGGACGCAACGUCCUCAACCUAUUCUCAAACUUUCAAUGGAUAUGAAGUUGCAGUUUCUUUAGUGAACUGUCAACGUGAA
rnacentral:ncRNA from 1 species